UGGAAAUAUUUGAUUGCGGGGUAUGCCAAGAAUGGAAAUGUGGAAGAAGCUUUCAAGUUGUGAUUUCUUUGACUGCGAUGAUCUGUGUAUGUUCGCAAAAUGGGAAGUAUGCGGAUGCACUAACUGUUUACAAGGAAAUGGAGAAAGCCGGAGGGGUAAAGCCUAAUGAAGUUAAGAUUGCUAGUGUUCUUCCAGCUUGUGCGAAUCUUGGGGCACCGAAGGGGGAGAAGAUUGAAGUUUAUGCAAGAGCAAAUGGAUACUUUAAGAAUAUGUUUGUUUGCAAUGCUGUGCUUGAAAUGUAUACAAAGUGUGUUAGAAUUGAUAGGGCUAAGUAACACAAAUUUGUUGUUACGGGUGGCAACCCAAGGGGUUUUGAUAGGGACGAUCCCAGUUGAUAUGUUAUGGGUUGCAGCUCAGGGGUCACAAUACCUAGCAUAGGCCGAUCUCGAUGGAUGAAUUUGCAAGGGUCUUCCUCUUCUACCACAGAUCAAUUGGUCAUUAUAUCUCAUAUUACAAGUUUACAAACAAAGAAAUGUAAAGAUGUACAUGAUUCCACAAUAUAAGAAAAGGUUACCAAGAGGAAAGAGGUCCUCGCCGCGUAUGAUCGAGUUUAGCUGAUGAUUGAUAUGUUUCGUUCAUUCCGGAGUUGCCGAGUUUAGACUUUAAUUUGGCCUGUAUAAUCAAAGAUUACUACGGUGCCUAUCUCGACUAGUGAUUAACGAUUUCUCAUCCUAGAAUCUUGUAGACAAUUGUUGCCGUAGGUCAGGUAGUUAGUUACAAUCCAAUUGUCCUUAUAUUAUACUGUUGUUAUAUUGUGUUUA